rnacentral:rRNA from 1 species
UACGUAGGGUGCGAGCGUUGUCCGGAAUUACUGGGCGUAAAGAGCUCGUAGGUGGUUUGUCGCGUUGUCCGUGAAAACUCACAACUCAAUUGUGGGCGUGCGGGCGAUACGGGCAGACUGGAGUACUGCAGGGGAGACUGGAAUUCCUGGUGUAGCGGUGGAAUGCGCAGAUAUCGGGAGGAACACCGGUGGCGAAGGCGGUUCUCUGGGCCUUACCUGACGCUGAGGAGCGAAAGCGUGGGGAGCAAACGGG